CCUACGGGAGGCAGCAGUGAGGAAUAUUGGUCAAUGGCCGAAAGGCUGAACCAGCCAAGCCGCGUGAAGGACGAAGGUGCCAAGCAUUGUAAACUUCUUUUGUAAAGGGACAAAAUGAGGCUCGCGAGCCUGACCGCGUGUACUUGAUGAAAAAGCAUCGGCUAACUCCGUGCCAGCAGCCGCGGUAAUGCGGAGGAUUCGAGCGUUAUCCGGAUUUAUUGGGUGUAAAGGGAGCGGAGGGGGGUGUGUAAGUCAGGUGUGAAAGCCCGGGGCCCAACCCCAGGAGUGCAGUUGAAACUGGCUGUCUUGAGAGCACGAGAGGUAGGCGGAAUUCGUAGUGUAGCGGUGAAAUGCUUAGAUAUUGCGAAGAACUCCGAUUGCGAAGGCAGCUUACUGG
rnacentral:rRNA from 1 species